rnacentral:rRNA from 1 species
GACGAACCGUCCAAACGUUAUUCGGUAUCACUGGGCUUAAAGAGUUCGUAGGCGGCCGGGUAGGUCAGGUGUGAAAUCCCACAGCUCAACUGUGGAACUGCGCUUGAAACCACACGGCUCGAGGGGGAUAGAGGUGAGCGGAACAGAUGGUGGAGCGGUGAAAUGCGUUGAUAUCAUCUGGAACACCGGUGGCGAAAGCGGCUCACUGGAUCCCUUCUGACGCUGAGGAACGAAAGCUAGGGUAGCGAAC